rnacentral:ncRNA from 1 species
ACCAAGGAGUCUAACAUGUGCGCGAGCCGCGGGGCAGUACGAAACCCGUAAGGCGAAAUGAAGGUGAACGCCGGCGCGGUCCGGCGGAGGUUGGAUCCCGUCCCGUCGGGGCGGGCGCACUACCGGCUGAUUUUUUCCGCCCUGUCGGCGAGGUCGAGCGAGAGCGUGCAAGUCCGGACCCCCAAGAUGGUGAACUA